GCCAGGCGUGGUGGCUCACGCCUGUAAUCCCAGCACUCUGGGAGGCCGAGGUGGGUGGAUCACCUGAGGUCAGGAGUUCAAGACCAGUCUGGCCAACAUGGUGAAACCCCAUCUCUA
rnacentral:SRP_RNA from 1 species